CUGCUAAAUUUGACAGCGCAUAUAGUAAAAUUGGAACAAUACAGAGAAGACCAGCAUGGCCCCUGUGUGAGGAUGGCGUGCAAAUUCAAGUCUGAAUAUCAAGUAAA